AGCAGAACUAAGAACGUCUUCAAAACAUCCUCCACUAUGGAUUGUCCCUCCAACCUUUGUCUGAAAAGAAUAAGGGCAGUUACUCACAACGUAGCUAAAUAGUGUUAGGUGCCUUCUGGAAGAAAAGGCAGAAAAACAACGUCCACUUGCUUGGUGCUAGAAGAAGGAAAAACAUAUUGCAUCCUUUUACACAAAACAAACUACAGCAACUACAGCAACAACAGACAUUUCUCUUACCCAAGUGAAUAUGACCUGGAAAGCCAGCAUAAGGAAAAAGGAAGAAGAAUUGAUUACAGCUUUUCUUUUUUGACAUCUUCACCCUCAUUUAUUAAGGAUCCAUUAAGAAUAACAGAGGGAAGAGGACCAUUGCUACAGGGCUUCUGUGCCCAGUUGGAGAUCCAACUCUCUGCAUCAGCAUCCCAAGUGAGAAGAGACAGUAGAAGCAAAAGCUUUUGCAGUGUUAUAUCUCGUAUUGAAUACACCUUGUAAUGAGUGACUGAGUGAGAACCACCGUCUCUCUCACUCAUUCACUACAAAGCCUUUAAUCCUCCCAAUGGCCACUUCAAGUUCCUUAUGCCUGUGACCCUCCAGAACAGCAGAAACUUUCUUCUGGAGUCUCAAGGGCUUACUCUGCUACAAAUCUAAUGUGAGGGAUACUGAGGCCAAAGAUUUAUGUUUGGGGUCAUCUCUAGGGCAGGAAACCAAAAUAUGUAUUUCCUCAGAUUUUGCACAAGGUGUCUAGUCUUUCUACAAGCUUCACCCAUUUUAAAAUUUUUAAAAAAACUCUCAGGCUUCAUUUGUGAGGGGGAAAAAGCUUUAAGCUCAAGUAUGCUCAUAGUUUGAAUCCCACCUCUUCACUUGGUUGUACCCACCAGUAAAAUGUGACCCUCAAAAUUUUUCAGAAAUUGAAUUUAGCUCUUGCUGUAAUGAAAGUUAUCUUUCCUGAAAGUUUGUCACGAAAUAUCCUUUACAUUCAGAUACAUAUAGUAUUUACACUGAAAUGAUUUACUGAGGAAUAAGUUACACUGAGUUUAAUAUUGUUUAGAGCAAAACCCUAUUAUUGACUUAUGCUGGUAUAUGAGAACAUAAUCAGCAGCUUGUUAAUGAGUGGCAGUUUACUGUCACAACUUAUGCAAUGUAAGUGUAAAUUGACCAGAGGAUUCUGAUCAUUAAAUGAUGGGCAGGUUUCACAGAUUAAAUACUGCAAACACUA